GCAGAACAGCUCUGGUCCUCACAGCCAGUGCACCGGAGGGGCGCGCUCCCGAGCUGGCGCAGUUUCCCAGCGCGGUGCCCGCCCCUCAUCCUCCUCCAGUCUCCCUCCCCUCGCCGACUGCCGCCCCAGGCUCCGCCAUGGGGAAUGUGCCAUCCGCGGUGAAGCACUGCCUCAGCUACCAGCAGCUUCUCCGGGAGCAUCUCUGGAUCGGGGAUUCAGUGGCAGGGGCGCUCGACCCCGCGCAGGAAACAUCCCAGUUAUCUGGACUCCCUGAGUUUGUUAAAAUAGUAGAAGUUGGGCCUAGGGAUGGAUUGCAGAAUGAAAAGGUUAUAGUUCCUACAGAUAUAAAAAUUGAAUUUAUCAAUCGACUUUCCCAAACUGGCUUGUCUGUAAUAGAAGUGACUAGCUUUGUGUCUUCCAGAUGGGUACCACAGGUUGCUGCUGGAGCUACUGAGAUAUCAGUUUUUGGAGCUGCAUCUGAAUCCUUUAGCAAGAAGAAUAUUAACUGUUCCAUUGAAGAAAGUAUGGGAAAAUUUGAGGAGGUUGUUAAGUCUGCAAGACACAUGAAUAUUCCAGCACGAGGGUACUUAUGAAAUCCCACAAAUUCUGUUUUGUUAAUGUUUAUUGUUAAAGCUUACUCAAAAAUUAUCUAGAGAUUCUUAUAUCAUUUAUAAAAAUAUACAUAGAAUAUCAUAUUUCUAUUUUGUUUAAUCAGGGUAAUCACUAUAUAGUUACAUCUCAUUAACAUCACUGCUGAUUAUUAGUGAGUAUCUAGCUUGUGGAAUGUGUCAUGCAGUUGAAAUCAGAGGAACUAGCAUGCAAAUCUGGCAUUAUUAACUAUUUUAUUAACACUCUAGCACCCAAAUGCAGCCCUCUUAUCUCAGCCUACAUGUGCUGAUAAGUUGGUAUAAACUCACAACAGCUUUUGGAAAAGAAUCACCUAAUGUGGUUUUCAAAUUUUUUUUAAAACAUGACUUUUUCUUCAAAGAGUAUUUUAUGUAGAACUUCAAUAGAAUACAGCAGAUAUAAAAUUGAGCUGCUCUGGGAAAUCAUUUUAUCCAUUCUUUCUCCCCCUCAAUGGCUGACUUUUCUACUUCCUCUGGGUGAUCCCAAAUCACCUCCAUAGUAUCUUGCAGAACACUGUUUAAAAAUACUUGAUAAAUUGCUUAUAGAAGAUAAAUAUAAACUUUCAGUUCUCUACUAUUUUCUAUUAUAUGUGAUUUCUAUAAAUUUAGGAGUAUCAGAGAUAUCAAUCCCUUUCUCCUCGCCUUGCCUUUUUCUUGUGGAAACUUAUCAGCUGUUCAUUCUAAGAGAUGUUGAUUACAGGACAUGGAAAAUAAAAACUGACCCAAGAUCCACAAACCUAAUUUUCUCUCUCAGGAGUUUAGAAAUGGUAUACCAAACAUGGUUACUUGUAUUGAAAGAUUAUGUGAUUUUGUCACUGAGUUCACUAUUUUGGGGUUCCUAGGAUGGAGCCACAUGCAAACCAGUGACAGGACAGAGUAGUAGAAAGCAGAAAUGGAAAAAGGAGGCUCCUAGCGGUGAUGAGAGGUAUGGGGGAGGGAGGAGAGGGAAAAAUCUGCCUUGGUGCUUGUCUGCUUCCAGGACCAAUAGUUGCCUCAAGUAUUAUAACCAGGCCUAUGGGUUGUGAAACCUAUAAUGCAUUUUUGUGUGUGUUUGUUUCUUAAGGAAGAAUUUGUUUCUAAGACAUUAGCUACUUUUUCUAUUAAUUUUAUAAAUAUGGAGAUAUGAUGAACACACAUCGUAACAAGUUAAAGUGCAUAGCGAUUGGUAAUAGAAGGUUGAAAGCUGGGGAUGGAUUUGGGUGCAGGCUGUACUUCCCUUAGUUGAGGUGAGCAAAGUUCAUGGUAGCGGGAAAGAUUCAACAGUUAAUGAGAAAGAUAAGUGAGUCAAUUGUGACUGAAAAUAUUAGUGAAAUGAUUGGAAUUUCAAUCAAGGUGUUUUGGGGGAACAAUUAGAGUUAGACUAUACCUAGUAAAAUAUUUUGUUAGUUUGUUUUCUAUUUAUAUUUUUCCUGUCCUCCAUAGUAAGUCUACAUGAGUUUCUAAAAUUUGAAAUUACUUUUGUAAUUAAGAUAGAUGCAUAUCAUGUAAGGACUAUAUGAGAAAAAUUUAAAAUCCAAGGCAAUGUACUUCCAAAGACAUAAAAUAAAGGAUAUUUAUUUUUCAGGCAAAAGUUACAAAACCACAAUCAAAAAGGAGAGAUAUACUAUUGGUUUCUCAAUUCGAAUAUAAAUAAGUUGUCUCAAUUUUCUUUAAAAUAAAGAGAAAGAUGAAGACCCUAUUCUACUUCAAUAUGUGUUUAAAGUGUGGAGUAUAAGCUUUAAAGUAAUUCUCAUUGGAAAGUUAAAAAGUAUGUGACUAUAAGAAGUAAAUUGCUUAUGUAGCUUGCUCUUCAAAUAGGAAGGGUUUUUUUAGUGUUGAAAGAUGGAUGCAAAUAUAAGUUGUAGGAAGUAACCUUUUAUUAUCUUAGCUUUCUGUUGUAAAAUGGAAUAGUUAAUGUAACUGGGCUAAUAAAAAUCUUAAACCCUCUUAA